rnacentral:rRNA from 1 species
AGUGAACGCUGGCGGUAGGCCUAACACAUGCAAGUCGAACGGCAGCACAGUAAGAGCUUGCUCUUACGGGUGGCGAGUGGCGGACGGGUGAGGAAUACAUCGGAAUCUACUUUUUCGUGGGGGAUAACGUAGGGAAACUUACGCUAAUACCGCAUACGACCUACGGGUGAAAGCAGGGGAUCUUCGGACCUUGCGCGAUUGAAUGAGCCGAUGUCGGAUUAGCUAGUUGGCGGGGUAAAGGCCCACCAAGGCGACGAUCCGUAGCUGGUCUGAGAGGAUGAUCCGCCACACUGGAACUGAGACACGGUCCAGACUCCUACGGGAGGCAGCAGUGGGGAAUAUUGGACAAUGGGCGCAAGCCUGAUCCAGCCAUACCGCGUGGGUGAAGAAGGCCUUCGGGUUGUAAAGCCCUUUUGUUGGGAAAGAAAAGCAGCAGGUUAAUACCCCGCUGUUCUGACGGUACCCAAAGAAUAAGCACCGGCUAACUUCGCG